rnacentral:rRNA from 1 species
GAUGAACGCUGGCGGCGUGCCUAAUACAUGCAAGUCGAGCGAACAGACGAGGAGCUUGCUCCUCUGACGUUAGCGGCGGACGGGUGAGUAACACGUGGAUAACCUACCUAUAAGACUGGGAUAACUUCGGGAAACCGGAGCUAAUACCGGAUAAUAUAUUGAACCGCAUGGUUCAAUAGUGAAAGACGGUUUUGCUGUCACUUAUAGAUGGAUCCGCGCCGCAUUAGCUAGUUGGUAAGGUAACGGCUUACCAAGGCAACGAUGCGUAGCCGACCUGAGGGGUGAAUCGCCAAACCUGAAACUGAGACACGUCCAGACUCCUACGGGAGGCAGCAGUAGGGAAUCUUCCGCAAUGGGCGAAAGCCUGACGGAGCAACGCCGCGUGAGUGAUGAAGGUCUUCGGAUCGUAAAACUCUGUUAUUAGGGAAGAACAAAUGUGUAAGUAACUAUGCACGUCUUGACGGUACCUAAUCAGAAAGCCACGGCUAACUACGUG